rnacentral:rRNA from 1 species
AGUCCGACGAUACAGGGUGAUAGUCCCGUAGUUGACGACGUGUGUUCAGUGAAAUCGAGUAGGGCGGGACACGUGAUAUCCUGUCUGAAUAUGGGGGGACCAUCCUCCAAGGCUAAAUACUACUGACUGACCGAUAGUGAACCAGUACCGUGAGGGAAAGGCGAAAAGAACCCCUGUGAGGGGAGUGAAAUAGAACCUGAAACCGUGUACGUACAAGCAGUAGGAGCAGGCUUUGUCCUGUGACUGCGUACCUUUUGUAUAAUGGGUCAGCGACUUAUAUUCAGUGGCAAGGUUAACCAUCUAGGGGAGCCGUAGGGAAACCGAGUCUUAACUGGGCGUUCAGUCUCUGGAUAUAGACCCGAAACCAGGUGAUCUAGCCAUGGGCAGGUUGAAGGUUGAGUAACAUCAACUGGAGGACCGAACCGACUAAUGUUGAAAAAUUAGCGGAUGACUUGUGGCUAGGGGUGAAAGGCCAAUCAAACCUGGAGAUAGCUGGUUCUCCCCGAAAGCUAUUUAGGUAGCGCCUCGGACGAAUACUACUGGGGGUAGAGCACUGUUAAGGCUAGGGGGUCAUCCCGACUUACCAACCCUUUGCAAACUCCGAAUACCAGUAAGUACUAUCCGGGAGACACACGGCGGGUGCUAACGUCCGUCGUGGAGAGGGAAACAACCCAGACCGCCAGCUAAGGUCCCAAAUUACUACUAAGUGGGAAACGAUGUGGGAAGGCUCAGACAGCCAGGAUGUUGGCUUAGAAGCAGCCAUCAUUUAAAGAAAGCGUAAUAGCUCACUGGUCGAGUCGGCCUGCGCGGAAGAUGUAACGGGGCUAAGUAGUAAACCGAAGCUGCGGCAAUGUGCUUUUGCACAUUGGGUAGGGGAGCGUUCUGUAAGCGGUUGAAGGUGUGUGGUAACGCAUGCUGGACGUAUCAGAAGUGCGAAUGCUGACAUGAGUAACGAUAAAGGGGGUGAAAAACCUCCUCGCCGGAAGACCAAGGGUUCCUGUCCAACGUUAAUCGGGGCAGGGUAAGUCGACCCCUAAGGCGAGGCCGAAAGGCGUAGUCGAUGGGAAACGGGUUAAUAUUCCCGUACUUCUUACAAUUGCGAUGGGGGGACGGAGAAGGCUAGGUGGGCCUGGCGACGGUUGUCCAGGUUCAAGUGCGUAGGCUUAAGAGUUAGGUAAAUCCGGCUCUUUCUAAGGCUGAGACACGACGUCGAGCACCUACGGGUGUGAAGUCAUUGAUGCCAUGCUUCCAGGAAAAGCCUCUAAGCUUCAGAUUGUAAGGAAUCGUACCCCAAACCGACACAGGUGGUCGGGUAGAGAAUACCAAGGCGCUUGAGAGAACUCGGGUGAAGGAACUAGGCAAAAUGGUACCGUAA